UGGAUCACCUCCUAACAGGGAGACAACAAAAUGUUAAAUAUUAAUUUUGUCACCUUAGGUCGAUCGGUAUCUCAGGUUCUUAAUUACUUUAAGAAUUUCAUUUCCUAAGUUUUUUUCUAGGUCACACCCAUCACUUUUCCUGGGCCAUUAGCUCAGGUGGUUAGAGCGCACCCCUGAUAAGGGUGAGGUCCCUGGUUCAAGUCCAGGAUGGCCCAUAUCUCUAUGUUGGGGGUAUAGCUCAGUUGGUAGAGCGCCUGCUUUGCAAGCAGGAUGUCAGCGGUUCGAGUCCGCUUACCUCCACUGAUCACCACCUCUUCCAUAAUUUAAAAGAAGGGAAACGUUUUGAGUUGUGAUCAAAUCCUGAACGAAUCUAGCUUCCUAAUUAUCUUAUUAAGAUGCUGGACUCAUUGAAUUUAUUUCACUGUUUUCAGAGAACCUUGACAACUGCAUAGAUUAUUUUAAAGACAAUAAGCAUCUUUAAUGAUGCAGAUUUAUUAUUUAUGCGAAUGCAUUAAUAACAAUUCUAUUAAGCUGAUGCUUCAAUUUUUGAAGUUAUUGGUCAAGCUACAAAGGGCUCACGGAGGAUACCUAGGCACACAGAGGCGAUGAAGG
rnacentral:tRNA from 1 species